CAGUCGCCGCGGUAAUACGAAGGGUGCAAGCGUUACUCGGAAUUACUGGGCGUAAAGCGUGCGUAGGUGGUGGUUUAAGUCCGUUGUGAAAGCCCUGGGCUCAACCUGGGAAUUGCAGUGGAUACUGGGUCACUGGAGUGUGGUAGAGGAUAGUGGAAUUUCCGGUGUAGCAGUGAAAUGCGUAGAGAUCGGAAGGAACAUCUGUGGCGAAGGCGACUAUCUGGGCCAACACUGACACUGAGGCACGAAAGCGUGGGGAGCAAACAGGAUUAGAUACCCGUGUAGUCCCUGUCUCUUAUAC
rnacentral:rRNA from 1 species